rnacentral:rRNA from 1 species
UCCUACGGGGAAGCAGCAGUAGGGAAUCUUCCACAAUGGACGAAAGUCUGAUGGAGCAACGCCGCGUGAACGAUGAAGGCUUUCGGGUCGUAAAGUUCUGUUGUAAGGGAAGAACAAGUGCCGCAGGCAAUGGCGGCACCUUGACGGUACCUUGCGAGAAAGCCACGGCUAACUACGUGCCAGCAGCCGCGGUAAUACGUAGGUGGCAAGCGUUGUCCGGAAUUAUUGGGCGUAAAGCGCGCGCAGGCGGCCUCUUAAGUCUGAUGUGAAAGCCCCCGGCUCAACCGGGGAGGGCCAUUGGAAACUGGGAGGCUUGAGUAUAGGAGAGAAGAGUGGAAUUCCACGUGUAGCGGUGAAAUGCGUAGAGAUGUGGAGGAACACCAGUGGCGAAGGCGACUCUUUGGCCUAUAACUGACGCUGAGGCGCGAAAGCGUGGGGAGCAAACAGGAUUAGAUACCCUGGUAGUCCACGCCGUAAACGAUGAGUGCUAGGUGUUGGAGGGUUUCCGCCCUUCAGUGCUGAAGCUAACGCAUUAAGCACUCCGCCUGGAGACUCGCUGCC